GUUGACCUCGGAUCAGGUAGGAAUACCCGCUGAACUUAAGCAUAUCAUA
rnacentral:rRNA from 17 species